rnacentral:lncRNA from 1 species
UAGGAAUGUCAAUGACUAUGGAUGCCCGAAAUUUUAUCCGAACCCGAAUCCGAACGAAGCAAAUUUAUUCGAUGCUAAAUAAAUAUGGUUUUGGAUGUGAAUAUCAAAAACAAAAAUCCGACAGAUAUGAAUACGAAUAUAGAUUUUGACUGUAUCGGACCCGAAGCUGAAUAUCACCCGAACCCGAUCCGAAUCUAAAUUUAUUUUACAUUAUAUAUAAUAUGCAUAUAAAAAUUUGAUAUUAUAUUUGAAUUUGUAUUUUAAAAUUUUAAAUUUAAUAAAAAAAAUUUUGAAAUAUUGAAAAAAGAAAUAAUUAUUUCGGGUUCGGAUUUUCGGGGUCGGAUUCGGGUUUUGGAUUUUUGGUUGGGUUCGGGUUUGAAUAUGGAUUUUAAAAACCCGUCGGGUUCGGGUUUUAGGUUUGGAGUCGGGUUCGGAUUUGAGUUUUUAAAAAUCCGCCCUGAAUCCGACACGUUGACAUCCCUACUUAUCCAAACUAUGGACUGUUUAAUCUUUCAAUUCAAUUUGCUCGAUUUGUAUUAUUCAAUAGUAUUUUGACUUUAAAAUUUAGGCUAAUUAUAUUUUUAAUAAAUCUAUAGUUACAAAAAUUGCUUGAAAUAUUUAUAUCUAUAUCUAUAUCUAUAUCUAUACUAUAUAUAAAAGCGUAUAAGAAUUCCGACAAUGACAGAUGGAAUUCAAAAAGGUAUAAAAUAAUGAUUAAUUUGUUAAAAAUAUCUCAAAUAAAAAUGAACGAGUAUGAUCCAUUUAUUAAAUUCUACUAUAUCCAAAAAAAUUAAAAUAAUAUUCCCUACGAAUAGGUAUGAUUAAUUUGUUAAAAAUAUCUCAAUAAAAACGAGGGCUCUUUUUUGCAUUUAGCCCCUUGGCAAAUUCUUAUUUUAAAAUUAGCCCUGUCAAAAUUUAAUUUGCAAAAAUGGCCCUGGGCCUGCCACGCAGGCGCGCCACGCGGGCAGGACUGGGCCCAUGUGUUAAGUUGAACACGGUGAACCACUCACCAUGUUCAAACACGGUGAAUGGUUCACCGUAUUUAGUACGUAUUUUUUGUAUAUUUAAAAGAGGAAUAGGGAGUAGGUAUGUCAAUAGGUAUGGAUAUCCGAAAUAUUAUCCGAAUCCAAAUCCGAAUAAAUUAUAUAUAUAUACAUAAUUUAUUUUUAUUUAUUUAUACAAUAUAUAAAAUAUUUAAUAAUUUUUAUUUCUUAGAUCUUCAUCCAACGGUAUAGAUUUUUAAAACCCACUGGAUUCAGGUUCGGAUUUCGAGUUUUUGGUCGGAUAUGGAUAUGGGUAUGAAUUUUUAAAAUCCUUCGGGUUCGGAUCCGGGUUUGGAUUUUAAUUUGAUUUUCGGAUUCGGGUUCGAAUUUUUGAAAAAGAGAAGAAAAGGAAUACAAAUUCCCUAUUCCUCUUUUCAAUAUACAAAAAAUACGUACUAAACACGGUGAAUGAUUCACCGUGUCUUAAACACGGUGAUUCACCGUGUUUAACUUAACUACCGCACCCAGCCCGGCCCGUGUGGUGCUGACGUGGCGCCUGCGUGGCAGGCCUAGAGCCAUUUUUGCAAAUUAAAUUUUGACAGGGCUAUUUUUAAAAUAAAAAUUUGCCAGGGGACUAAAUGCAAAAAAAGCCCUAAAAACGAAAAUUUAUGAUUAAUCUAUUAAAUCUCUACUAUAUCCAAAAAAAAAAAAAUAAUAUUCCCUACGAAUAGUUAUGAUUAAUUUGUUAAAAAUAUCUCAAAUAAAAACGAACGGUUAUGAUCAAUCCAUUAAAUCUCUACUAUAUAUAAAAAUCUAUUUCUUACUAAUUGUUAUGAUCAAUUUGUUAAAAAAAUAUACCAAAUAAAAAUAGUUAUGAUCAAUCUAUUAAAAAAUAGCAUUUCUAUCUAUCUAUAAAUUCAACCCUACGAACGAUUAUAAUCAAUUUGUUAAAACAUAUCUCAAAUAAAAAUAAAUGGUUAUGA